AGAGCAGGGAUUGUGUGUAUCGGUUGUGUGCUAAGAUUAAUGCACCCUUCCGAAAGAGUUCCCUGCAACAUUUAUUAUGAGAAAGUGGGCAGUUGUGUUUCAUUCCUUUCCUUUCAAUUUUCUCUUUCAACUUAC